rnacentral:piRNA from 1 species
AUGACUGGAAAGCAGGAUCCCUCAG